UCGUUUUUAGGAGGUGAACAGAAAUGGCAUUAUGUGGUAGAAGCAAAAAAUGCAAAAGACAAAAAAAAUUAGUGAACAGUAUGUUGAGCUGCCAGACGGGGAAUCACGUUUGUUACCCUGUGCACUUAAAGACCAAUUCAACUAAAUGAAUAAAGGCGACAAGGAAGGCCCGAGCGAGGACAUCUGUAUUGCGGGAAAAAGAAAAAAAACAAAACAAGGAGGUGGAGACAUUUCAGCUGCAGCUAUUUGAAUAGAAGCAUUUCGUAGGAAAGGGAAACCCCAUAGUACGAAAAACAGACCAAUCUUGUAUUUUCUGACCACCUUUAAAGCUCCCUUUCUUUGUAAUAAAGCAGAACGGCUUUCCUGAACCAGUGUUUGGACUCUGUAUGGGAAGGGGGUGUGUGGGUGAAACCGCACUUUCGGUAUGAGCAUGAGUGCGUGGCUGUAACGCAUGACUAAUCCUAACACUGCUUUUUCCUGUUCACGUGAACAGACGUGCUUUUUUUUCAAGUUUUUUAAUAAAGAUGCCAUGAGUUAAUGGUUAACACACACAGAUUACUUACAAAAGGCCAGAGAAAAAUCAGAUGGAAUGUCACUGAUGUGAAGAAACUGCUGUGUAAGUCGCUUUUCGAUCACUAUGAAAACUGUAAGACAGCAGCAGCUUUAAGGCAAGUGCAAUUCAACUUCCUCCAUCACAGUGCGCAAGGACGAUUUAUGUUUUGUUUUUUUACUGUCAUACACAUUGCGAUAUAUUUUAGG